AUACGUAGGGGGCGAGCGUUGUCCGGAUUUACUGGGCGUAAAGGGUGAGUAGGCGGUUAUAUGUGUCAGAUGUAAAAGGCUAUGGCUUAACCAUAGUUAGCAUUUGAAACUGUAUGACUUGAGUGCAGGAGGGGUAAGUGGAAUUCCUAGUGUAGCGGUGAAAUGCGUAGAUAUUAGGAGGAACACCAGUGGCGAAGGCGACUUACUGGACUGUAACUGACGCUGAGUCACGAAAGCGUGGGUAGCAAACAGGAUUAGAUACCCUGGUAGUCCACGCUGUAAACGAUGAGUGCUAGGUGUUGGCCAGCGAUGGUCAGUGCCGCAGUAAACACAUUAAGCACUCCGCCUGGGGAGUACGGUCGCAAGACUGAAACUCAAAUGAAUUGGCGGGG
rnacentral:rRNA from 1 species